rnacentral:rRNA from 1 species
AAUCAACGCUGGCGGCGUGCCUCAGACAUGCAAGUCGAACGCGAAAGGUUCCUUCGGGAGCCGAGUAGAGUGGCGCUCGGGUGAGUAACACGUAGGUAAUUUGCCUUUGGGUGGGGAAUAACAAUCGGAAACGGUUGCUAAUACCGCAUAAUGCAGCGGCUCGACAUCGAGACAGUUGUUAAAAGCGGGGGAUCCUUCGGGACCUCGCGCCUAAAGAGAAGCCUGCGGCGGAUUAGCAGUUGGUGAAGUAAUGGCUCACCAAGGCGACGAUCCGUAACCGGCCUGAGAGGGCGGACGGUCACACUGACACUUAAAUACGGGUCAGACUCCUACGGGAGGCAGCAGUCGGGG